UCUAAGGGAAGAAUCAUGGGAAAGAGGCGCAAAAUGUGAGGAGUGGGCCAGAGUAUAAAGUCCUAGGAUCAAGGUUAAACGUCACACUUGACCUUCAUAGUGCCCACUUGGGUCUCUUCCAAGUGUACCUUCCUUUCUUUCCUGCUCUAAAGCUUUUUAAUACACUUCUACUCCUGCUCUGAAACUUGCCUUGGUCUCUUUUUCUGCCUUAUGCCCCUCAGUCAAAUUCUUCUGAGAAGGCAAGAACUGAGGUUGCUGCAGACCAGUAUGGAUUCGCCCCCCGGUAACUCAGAUACUUUCCAUCCCUAACAUGUCUACCAUUAUCUGUCCACAAAACCUCUGGAAUCCUUCAUAACUACAACCCUUGCCCUGAGAAAUUCCUCUUGUUUAUCCAUCUUCCCUCUUUCCCAACCUCAGUCCUUCUCUCUAGGAUCUGAAUCCUAAAUAGUCUCUCUGUCAGUUUAAUGUCUGAGAAAUCAGUUGGUGCAAUACUAUCUAGGCACAAACUCUGCCUUCCCAGGCUAUAAUCCUAAACUCCAUUGUCAUAACAAAGCAAGCUGCCCAUGAAGGAGCAUGGGACCACAUACUUACAUCUUAAGAAAGAAAAUCAGAGACAGAAUGUUGCUGUGCCACCUAGGCUGGAGUGCAGUGGCACAAUCACAGCGGACUGCAGCCUCAAAAUCCUGGCUCAAGCACUCCUCUUACCUCAGCCUCAUAAGUAGCUGGGACUGCAGAAGACUUGUGUGGGAGACCAGAAUAUGCCUUACCAUAGCAUUAAGGACUGUUGAGCUGAAGGCAUUUAAGAAGAAACAGAUACAGCAGAGCUCUCUGCCCUCCCUCUAUUUGCCUGAAAGCAGGACAUAGAUUUAUAAACACAAAAGGCUCCAAGAAAUGGAAUUUUAUUAAAAGAUGGAAGAGGAGGAUAUUUGAGAGAAGGGGAACUACCUAAUACUGAAAACUAAUACAGUCCAGGAUACAUAGAAGAUGAUCAAUAACACUUAUUCAAUCUAAAUUACCCUAUCAGCAAGUGGAGAAUUCUCUCUCGGGAGUGCUGUUUUCUUUCCUGCCAGUCAGCUCUGUCAGGUUGAAUAGAAAGCGAUAAAUAAAGAGGAAAAGA
rnacentral:lncRNA from 1 species